AAGGUAAUAGCUCAGUGGUAGAGCACAUGCUUAGCAUGCAUAAGGUUCUGGGUUCCCCAGUACCUCC
rnacentral:tRNA from 1 species